rnacentral:rRNA from 1 species
CAGUCGCCGCGGUAAUACAGAGGGUGCGAGCGUUAAUCGGAUUUACUGGGCGUAAAGCGUGCGUAGGCGGCUAAUUGAGUCGGAUGUGAAAUCCCCGAGCUUAACUUGGGAAUUGCAUUCGAUACUGGUUAGCUAGAGUGUGGGAGAGGAUGGUAGAAUUCCAGGUGUAGCGGUGAAAUGCGUAGAGAUCUGGAGGAAUACCGAUGGCGAAGGCAGCCAUCUGGCCUAAUACUGACGCUGAGGUACGAAAGCAUGGGGAGCAAACAGGAUUAGAUACCCCAGUAGUCCCUGUCUCUUAUAC